rnacentral:misc_RNA from 1 species
GAUGAAGAACGUAGCGAAACGCGAUAUGUAAUGUGAAUUGCAGAAUUCAGUGAAUCAUCGAAUCUUUGAACGCACAUGGCGCCUUCCAGUAUCCUGGGAGGCAUGCCUGUCCGAGCGUCGUUUCAACCCUCGAGCCCUCGUGGCCCGGCGUUGGGGAUCUGUCACGGCAGGCCCCGAAAUACAGUGGCGGACCCGUUAGGCCCUUCCUUUGCGUAGUAGCAUCAGCCUCGCAUCGGGAGCCGGCGGGCUCUCCUGCCUCUAAACCCCCCAACAAGCCCGCUCCGGCGGCACCAAGGUUGACCUCGGAUCAGGUAGGAAUACCCGCUGAACUUAAGCAUAUCAAUAAGCGGAGGA